GAAAACAUACAAAGGGGAAUCCUAUAGUCAAUGAUCAAUUACAAAGACAAAACAGUUUUUUCAACCAUUCCGAGACAAUAAAGAGAGACAAAGAGAAGCAUCACCAUCUGCAAGAAUACCACAGCAAACCAACCUGCUUUAAACUAACGAAGUUUUCUUUGAUUUAAAACAGGGGCAAGUAUAAUAUUUGUGUCAGGAAAUACCCGAUAAGAAGUUAAAAAGAAGUCAGGCGUCCACCUGGAGAAUGAGGAUAAAGAAAUUAAAGAAGUCAGGCGUCCACCUGGAGAAUGAGGAUGAGAAUUAAAGAAGUCAGGCGUCCACCUGGAGAAUGAGGAUGAAGAAUUAAAGAAGUCAGGCGUCCACCUGGAGAAUGAGGAAGAGAAUUAAAGAAGUCAGGCGUCCACCUGGAGAAUGAGGAUAAAGAAGUUAAGAAGAAGUCAGGCGUCCACCUGGAGAAUGAGGAUGAAAGAAUUGAAGAAGUCAGGCAUCCACCUGGAGAAUGAGGAUAUAAAGAAAUUGAAGAAAUCAGGCGUCCACCUGGAGAAUGAGGAUGAGAAUUAAAGAAGUCAGGCGUCCACCUGGAGAAUGAGGAUGAAGAAAAGAAGAAGUCAGACGUCCACCUGGAGAAUGAGGAUGAGAAUUAAAGAAGUCAGGCGUCCACCUGGAGAAUGAGGAUGAAAGAAUUAAAGAAGUCAGGCGUCCACCUGGAGAAUGAGGAUGAGAAUUAAAGAAGUCAGGCGUCCACCUGGAGAAUGAGGAUAAAGAAGUUAAGAAGAAGUCAGGCGUCCACCUGGAGAAUGAG
rnacentral:lncRNA from 1 species